CGGGAAGAGCUCAAAUUUAAAAUCUGGCAGUGUAUUCUGUCCGAGUUGUAGUCUAGAGAAGCAUCAUCCGUGCUGGACCAUGUACAAGUCUCUUGGAACAGGUCAUCAUAGAGGGUGAGAAUCCCGU
rnacentral:rRNA from 1 species